rnacentral:lncRNA from 1 species
GCUUGUUUGGUAAACACAGAAUGUCAAUGAAAAUAUACUACAUGAUCUUUCUUUUUUGGACAAAUAACAGAAGCUUUAUUAAGAGAAAAAGAAGAAAGUACAAAGAGGAGAAUAAGGCAUUCUUCUAAAUUUGCCAAUGAAAAAAAAAGAAGAAAAGAAACCAUAACGGAACAUAAAUGAGCAAAUUUAAUUAAGGAAGAUGAUAAUCUCCCAAUUUUGAUAGAGAUUGAAAGUAGCCAUCCAAGAGAAAUAUCCCUGUGCCUUUUAUACUACAUGAUGUUUCUACCUUCUAUUUCUUUUCAGUUAUGAAAUCUUUCUCCAAAAUUCAUAUAAAUGAAGAAUAAAAAAUCUGAAGGACAACUACUUCAUUUACAAACUGCUUGCCUUCCUCCACUUGCGGAAAAAUCAAGAAGUGAACAAAAAGCUAUACAUCCCAAGAAACAGUAACUAACCAUGCUGAAGACAAAUAUAGAACUCCUGACAAUGCCACUCUGUAGGAUAAUGUAUAAGAAACAUUGGAAAAUUCUAUUCGCUUAUAUCAGUUUUUUGGGGAAAAAAACUGGUUAUUAGGGGUGGAGCUUGGUUGGAAAUCACUGUAUUCCAAAUUAAGACAAUGUUAGGAUAAAGUAAUAUGUUCAAGUACAAUAAAAUACUUUUAUUCUCUCUCUCUCUCUCUCUCUCUCCUCUCUAAUUAUUUGAGAAUUAUAUUUUCCUCUACCGAAUCAAAGCCAAGUAAGUUUAACCAGAGCAAAAUUAAUUUAAUGAGAUCUAGGAAUUUGAAGGUUGGAUGUCUAACAGAUUUAAUUGUGCAUGUCAACAAGACUGUUUGUUAGAGAAAAAUUCCCAAAGUUUGGUAAAAAGAGAACCUGCUGAGAGGGCUGUUUGGAAGAGAAAUUUUACAGAUUUGGUGAAAAGAAAUCUUAUUGAAAUGUGAGAGUUCUUCAGCUAACUCCACAGACGGUGAAGAAAAGAGAUCCUUCACAUAAAAACAUUGUAGGUAUCUACAACAGCUAAUAAGAAAAAGGUGAAAGUUGAGAGGUUCUUUUUGUUAGUGACACUGCAACCCUAGCAAGAGCCAAGGCUUCAAGAAACUAAAUAUGGAAAGUGAAUCACCUCCUGCAACAAUCCGUUACAAGUUAAUUCUCAAGGAAUUGCUCGAAAAGGUAUUAUUACCUUUUGCCUAUAUAUUUGUAUCAUAAACUUGGAAUUUGAUCAUUGGCAUGAACUUGUGGCAUUUCUUCAUUUGGAGGAUGGAUUUGGAAGCAGAAACCAACAUGGAUUCAGGGCUUGAAGGAAAAAAGAGGCCGAAAACAAUGUUGCAUUGCGUGUAAAUAAGCAAUUGAAGAAUGUCUAUAACAUUGUCAUUGAGGAGAUGAAUAAUCAAGUCAUGACUACAAUGAAAAACACUGUAGGAAUAUGAAGUAGGAAAUGACACAGCAUAAAUUUCAACUUGAAAGAACAAACAUGAGGAAGUGAAUAGGGAGUUUGUGUAUUGAAGCAGACAAUUCUGUAAUGAGAGAAGCAAGAUUGACAACAAUAACAAUGGUGUACAAAGUCGUGGUGUUCAAAGAAGAGUAAGUGCAUUAUAUGACUUGCCUCCAAGUUCCAAUAACAAGAAGUCAUUGAAGAAGAAAUUGCGAACUGAGGAGGACAGUGGAAGUUU